AGUGAACGCUGGCGGUAGGCCUAACACAUGCAAGUCGAACGGCAGCACAGAGGAGCUUGCUCCUUGGGUGGCGAGUGGCGGACGGGUGAGGAAUACAUCGGAAUCUACUCUGUCGUGGGGGAUAACGUAGGGAAACUUACGCUAAUACCGCAUACGACCUACGGGUGAAAGCAGGGGACCUUCGGGCCUUGCGCGAUUGAAUGAGCCGAUGUCGGAUUAGCUAGUUGGCGGGGUAAAGGCCCACCAAGGCGACGAACCGUAGCUGGUCGGAGAGGAUGAUCAGCCACACUGGAAAUGAGACACGGUCCAGACUCCUACGGGAGGCAGCAGUGGGGAAUAUUGGACAAUGGGCGCAAGCCUGAUCCAGCCAUACCGCGUGGGUGAAGAAGGCCUUCGGGUUGUAAAGCCCUUUUGUUGGGAAAGAAAUCCAGCUGGCUAAUACCCGGUUGGGAUGACGGUACCCAAAGAAUAAGCACCGGCUAACUUCGUGCCAGCCGCCGCAGUAA
rnacentral:rRNA from 1 species